AAGAAAUAGUAUUAGCAGUUUUAAAUCUGGAUUCAUAGUAAGAGCUACAAUCAGUGACCAAGGUUCUGCCAAUGUUGCUGCUAUUAAGUCAUUAAUAUCAGAUUCUAAUGCUGAACUCCUACGUAGUAACAAAUAUACCAAUGACAUCUGUUAUAAAAUCGGCCCAAACCAACUGUACCAUAUCUAUGAUGUACCUCAUUUAUUGAAAUGUUUUCGCAAUAAUUUUCAGAAAAAACCUACUCAUUGGCAACCAAAGGGCAAAGUGGGAGUAUAUUGAGAGACUUUAUAAAGUGGAUGGUUUUGGUGGCAGAGCAAGAAGCACCAAACUUACUGAGAAGCACAUAAAUCCAACUUCAUAUGACAAAAUGAAGGAUCUUUAGGUCAUCAGCAAACAUGAAAGGUGUGGAAUGAUGCAAGCAAUUGAUAAUGUCAUUUAUGAACAUAUUAAAAAUAACAGUCCCAAAUGGGAGCCCUGUGGGCACCCCAGAAGCAAUAUGAUGGAAAUUGGAACUAAAACCAUUAAGAACCACAUGGUCAAAUUUGCAGCCCAAGUUUUUAG